rnacentral:tRNA from 1 species
UGCUGCCCGGUUUGGCCGGUUUGGCGCCCUUGGCUGGCGCAGGUGGGGCCGGUUCGGGUUCUGCGGCGGCAGC